rnacentral:rRNA from 1 species
UCUAGCCAUGGGCAGGUUGAAGGUUGGGUAACACUAACUGGAGGACCGAACCGACUAAUGUUGAAAAAUUAGCGGAUGACUUGUGGCUGGGGGUGAAAGGCCAAUCAAACCGGGAGAUAGCUGGUUCUCCCCGAAAGCUAUUUAGGUAGCGCCUCGUGAAUUCAUCUCCGGGGGUAGAGCACUGUUUCGGCAAGGGGGUCAUCCCGACUUACCAACCCGAUGCAAACUGCGAAUACCGGAGAAUGUUAUCACGGGAGACACACGGCGGGUGCUAACGUCCGUCGUGAAGAGGGAAACAACCCAGACCGCCAGCUAAGGUCCCAAAGUCAUGGUUAAGUGGGAAACGAUGUGGGAAGGCCCAGACAGCCAGGAUGUUGGCUUAGAAGCAGCCAUCAUUUAAAGAAAGCGUAAUAGCUCACUGGUCGAGUCGGCCUGCGCGGAAGAUGUAACGGGGCUAAACCAUGCACCGAAGCUGCGGCAGCGACACUAUGUGUUGUUGGGUAGGGGAGCGUUCUGUAAGCCUGUGAAGGUGGCCUGUGAGGGUUGCUGGAGGUAUCAGAAGUGCGAAUGCUGACAUAAGUAACGAUAAAGCGGGUGAAAAGCCCGCUCGCCGGAAGACCAAGGGUUCCUGUCCAACGUUAAUCGGGGCAGGGUGAGUCGACCCCUAAGGCGAGGCCGAAAGGCGUAGUCGAUGGGAAACAGGUUAAUAUUCCUGUACUUGGUGUUACUGCGAAGGGGGGACGGAGAAGGCUAUGUUGGCCGGGCGACGGUUGUCCCGGUUUAAGCGUGUAGGCUGGUUUUCCAGGCAAAUCCGGAAAACCAAGGCUGAGGCGUGAUGACGAGGCACUACGGUGCUGAAGCGACAAAUGCCCUGCUUCCAGGAAAAGCCUCUAAGCAUCAGGUAACAUCAAAUCGUACCCCAAACCGACACAGGUGGUCAGGUAGAGAAUACCAAGGCGCUUGAGAGAACUCGGGUGAAGGAACUAGGCAAAAUGGUGCCGUAACUUCGGGAGAAGGCACGCUGAUAUGUAGGUGAAGCGACUUGCUCGUGGAGCUGAAAUCAGUCGAAGAUACCAGCUGGCUGCAACUGUUUAUUAAAAACACAGCACUGUGCAAACACGAAAGUGGACGUAUACGGUGUGACGCCUGCCCGGUGCCGGAAGGUUAAUUGAUGGGGUUAGCGGCAACGCGAAGCUCUUGAUCGAAGCCCCGGUAAACGGCGGCCGUAACUAUAACGGUCCUAAGGUAGCGAAAUUCCUUGUCGGGUAAGUUCCGACCUGCACGAAUGGCGUAAUGAUGGCCAGGCUGUCUCCACCCGAGACUCAGUGAAAUUGAACUCGCUGUGAAGAUGCAGUGUACCCGCGGCAAGACGGAAAGACCCCGUGAACCUUUACUAUAGCUUGACACUGAACAUUGAGCCUUGAUGUGUAGGAUAGGUGGGAGGCUUUGAAGUGUGGACGCCAGUCUGCAUGGAGCCGACCUUGAAAUACCACCCUUUAAUGUUUGAUGUUCUAACGUUGGCCCGUAAUCCGGGUUGCGGACAGUGUCUGGUGGGUAGUUUGACUGGGGCGGUCUCCUCCUAAAGAGUAACGGAGGAGCACGAAGGUUGGCUAAUCCUGGUCGGACAUCAGGAGGUUAGUGCAAUGGCAUAAGCCAGCUUGACUGCGAGCGUGACGGCGCGAGCAGGUGCGAAAGCAGGUCAUAGUGAUCCGGUGGUUCUGAAUGGAAGGGCCAUCGCUCAACGGAUAAAAGGUACUCCGGGGAUAACAGGCUGAUACCGCCCAAGAGUUCAUAUCGACGGCGGUGUUUGGCACCUCGAUGUCGGCUCAUCACAUCCUGGGGCUGAAGUAGGUCCCAAGGGUAUGGCUGUUCGCCAUUUAAAGUGGUACGCGAGCUGGGUUUAGAACGUCGUGAGACAGUUCGGUCCCUAUCUGCCGUGGGCGCUGGAGAACUGAGGGGGGCUGCUCCUAGUACGAGAGGACCGGAGUGGACGCAUCACUGGUGUUCGGGUUGUCAUGCCAAUGGCACUGCCCGGUAGCUAAAUGCGGAAGAGAUAAGUGCUGAAAGCAUCUAAGCACGAAACUUGCCCCGAGAUGAGUUCUCCCUGACUCCUUGAGAGUCCUGAAGGAACGUUGAAGACGACGACGUUGAUAGGCCGGGUGUGUAAGCGCAGCGAUGCGUUGAGCUAACCGGUACUAAUGAACCGUGAGGCUUAACCUU